ACGUAGGUCACAAGCGUUGUCCGGAAUUACUGGGUGUAAAGGGAGCGCAGGCGGGAAGACAAGUUGGAAGUGAAAUCUAUGGGCUCAACCCAUAAACUGCUUUCAAAACUGUUUUUCUUGAGUAGUGCAGAGGUAGGCGGAAUUCCCGGUGUAGCGGUGGAAUGCGUAGAUAUCGGGAGGAACACCAGUGGCGAAGGCGGCCUACUGGGCACCAACUGACGCUGAGGCUCGAAAGUGUGGGUAGCAAACAGGAUUAGAUACCCUGGUAGUCCACACUGUAAACGAUGAUUACUAGGUGUUGGGGGAUUGACCCCCUCAGUGCCGCAGUUAACACAAUAAGUAAUCCACCUGGGGAGUACGACCGCAAGGUUG
rnacentral:rRNA from 1 species